rnacentral:piRNA from 1 species
UGAAUUUGAAAAUUGCUCUUUCUAACUCUA